AGCAACUUGACGCAGUGGAAGCGUGCAGGGCUCAUAACCCUGAAGUCCCUAGAUCGAAACUAGGAGUUGCUA
rnacentral:tRNA from 2 species